rnacentral:rRNA from 1 species
UGCAAGUCGAGCGAAUGGAUUAAGAGCUUGCUCUUAUGAAGUUAGCGGCGGACGGGUGAGUAACACGUGGGUAACCUGCCCAUAAGACUGGGAUAACUCCGGGAAACCGGGGCUAAUACCGGAUAACAUUUUGAACCGCAUGGUUCGAAAUUGAAAGGCGGCUUCGGCUGUCACUUAUGGAUGGACCCGCGUCGCAUUAGCUAGUUGGUGAGGUAACGGCUCACCAAGGCAACGAUGCGUAGCCGACCUGAGAGGGUGAUCGGCCACACUGGGACUGAGACACGGCCCAGACUCCUACGGGAGGCAGCAGUAGGGAAUCUUCCGCAAUGGACGAAAGUCUGACGGAGCAACGCCGCGUGAGUGAUGAAGGCUUUCGGGUCGUAAAACUCUGUUGUUAGGGAAGAACAAGUGCUAGUUGAAUAAGCUGGCACCUUGACGGUACCUAACCAGAAAGCCACGGCUAACUACGUGCCAGCAGCCGCGGUAAUACGUAGGUGGCAAGCGUUAUCCGGAAUUAUUGGGCGUAAAGCGCGCGCAGGUGGUUUCUUAAGUCUGAUGUGAAAGCCCACGGCUCAACCGUGGAGGGUCAUUGGAAACUGGGAGACUUGAGUGCAGAAGAGGAAAGUGGAAUUCCAUGUGUAGCGGUGAAAUGCGUAGAGAUAUGGAGGAACACCAGUGGCGAAAGGCGACUUUCUGGUCUGUAACUGACACUGAGGCGCGAAAGCGUGG